rnacentral:rRNA from 1 species
UGAUGCAGCAACGCCGCGUGAGGGACGAAGGCCUUCGGGUUGUAAACCUCUUUUAGUAGGGAAGAAGCGAAAGUGACGGUACCUGCAGAAAAAGCACCGGCUAACUACGUGCCAGCAGCCGCGGUAAUACGUAGGGUGCAAGCGUUGUCCGGAAUUAUUGGGCGUAAAGAGCUCGUAGGCGGUUUGUCGCGUCUGCUGUGAAAACUGGAGGCUCAACCUCCAGCCUGCAGUGGGUACGGGCAGACUAGAGUGCGGUAGGGGAGAUUGGAAUUCCUGGUGUAGCGGUGGAAUGCGCAGAUAUCAGGAGGAACACCGAUGGCGAAGGCAGAUCUCUGGGCCGUAACUGACGCUGAGGAGCGAAAGCAUGGGGAGCGAACAGGAUUAGAUACCCUGGUAGUCCAUGCCGUAAACGUUGGGAACUAGAUGUAGGGGCCAUUCCACGGUUUCUGUGUCGCAGCUAACGCAUUAAGUUCCCCGCCUGGGGAGUACGGCCGCAAGGCUAAAACUCAAAGGAAUUGACGGGGGCCCGCACAAGCGGCGGAGCAUGCGGAUUAAUUCGAUGCAACGCGAAGAACCUUACCAAGGCUUGACAUAUACCGGAAACGGCUAGAGAUAGUCGCCCCGCAAGGU